rnacentral:rRNA from 1 species
GUACACGCUGUGACUAGCAUAUCAAUAAGCGGAGGAAAAGAAACUAACAAGGAUUCCCUUAGUAACGGCGAGUGAAGCGGGAAGAGCUCAAAUUUGAAAUCUUAAAGGGUUUCCCUUUACGAAUUGUAGUUUAAAGAAGUGUUUUCUGUUAGAGUUUCGGUAAAAGUUCUUUGGAAUAGGACAUCAUAGAGGGUGAGAAUCCCGUAUUUGACCGUUAUUUCUAGCUUUGUGAUACACUUUCAAAGAGUCGGAUUGUUUGGGAAUGCAGUCCAAAAUGGGUGGUAAAUUUCAUCUAAAGCUAAAUAUUGGCGAGAGACCGAUAGCGAACAAGUACCGUGAGGGAAAGAUGAAAAGAACUUUGAAAAGAGAGUUAAACAGUACGUGAAAUUGUCAAAAGGGAAGCGUUUGACACCAGUGUUGUUUUUCUGAAAAUCAAUUAAAGAACUGUUUAUGCUAAGUUGUUUAGACUUUAUCAGCCAACUGUUUAGUUUUGAGCUUUUCUUUAAUGCACUUUUCAGUUAACAAGUCAACAUCAAUUUCUUUUGCUGUAAAAAAGCUUGAGGAAGGUGGCUUGAGAUUCGUCUUAAGUGUUUAUAGCCUCUUGCCUAUGCAGUCGGAGAGAUUGAGGUCUGCAGCGUAGAUCCUUCGGGGCUAAAUGCAUUUGUGCUAAGUUAUAGCAUUUUAUAGACAACUUGUUGACUAUGAUUAGUCUUGUAGCUUACUCGCUUAUGCUAUUUUACCUACGCUUAGGAUGUUGAGCGCAUGUCUCUCUCU